rnacentral:rRNA from 1 species
ACGAACGCUGGCGGCGUGCUUAACCCAUGCCAGUCGAACGGAAAGGCCCUGCUUUUGUGGGGUGCUCGAGUGGCGAACGGGUGAGUAACACGUGAGUAACCUGCCCUUGACUUUGGGAUAACUUCAGGAAACUGGGGCUAAUACCGGAUAGGAGCUCCUGCUGCAUGGUGGGGGUUGGAAAGUUUCGGCGGUUGGGGAUGGACUCGCGGCUUAUCAGCUUGUUGGUGGGGUAGUGGCUUACCAAGGCUUUGACGGGUAGCCGGCCUGAGAGGGUGACCGGCCACAUUGGGACUGAGAUACGGCCCAGACUCCUACGGGAGGCAGCAGUGGGGAAUAUUGCACAAUGGGCGGAAGCCUGAUGCAGCAACGCCGCGUGCGGGAUGACGGCCUUCGGGUUGUAAACCGCUUUCGCCUGUGACGAAGCGUGAGUGACGGUAAUGGGUAAAGAGGCACCGGCUAACUACGUG